UACGAAGGGGGCUAGCGUUGCUCGGAAUUACUGGGCGUAAAGGGCGCGUAGGCGGCCUUCUAAGUCGAACGUGAAAUCCCCGGGCUCAACCCGGGAACUGCGUCCGAUACUGGAAGGCUUGAAUCCGGGAGAGGGAUGUGGAAUUCCAGGUGUAGCGGUGAAAUGCGUAGAUAUCAGGAGGAACACCGGUGGCGAAGGCGGGUCUCUGGGCCGAUACUGACGCUGAGGAGCGAAAGCGUGGGGAGCGAACAGG
rnacentral:rRNA from 1 species